GGAAGGGUGCGUGAGCGGUUGAAACGAGCACUCUCGAAAAGUGCCAGGGAUGCAAGUCCCUCGUGGGUUCGAAUCCCACCCCUUCCGCCA
rnacentral:tRNA from 1 species